rnacentral:ncRNA from 1 species
GUAAAGUUUAAUUUUAGCUUAAAAAUUAAUUUAAAAAUUUUUUUAUAUGUAAAUUUUUGUAAGAAUUAUAAUUAAUAAUUUAAAAAAUUAUAUUAGUUUAAUUAAUUCGCAGUAUUUAAUAUUAUUUAUUUAAGAAAUUAAGAAUUAGAAUUUUUUUUAUAUAUUAACAAAUUUUGUGCCAGCAGUUGCGGUUAUACAAAAAAUAUAAAUUAAUUUUUUUUAUAAGUAAUUAAAUAAUAAUAAAUAAAAUAUUUAAAUUAUAUUUAUUAGGUGAAAUUUUUAAAUAUAAUAAUUAUUUUUAAUAAUUUUUUUUAUAUUAUGAAAUUUUUGUAUUAAACUAGGAUUAGAUACCCUAUUAUUUUAAAUGUAAAAAAUUAUUAUAAAUUAGUAUUAGAUAUGAUCUUGAAAAUUAAAAAAUUUGGCGGUAUUAUAGUCUAUUUAGAGGAACCUGUUCUAUUAUCGAUAGUCCACGAUAAAAUUUACUUUUUUUAAAAAAAUUUGUAUAUCGUUGUUAUGAAAAAAUUUUAGAAGAAAUAAUUUUUAGAGUUUUUAAUAAAAAAAUAUAUCAAAUCAAGGUGCAGUUGAUAAAAAAGAAGAAAUGGGUUACAAUAAAAUAAUUUAUUUUGGAUAAAAAAUUGAAAUAUUUUUUUGAAAUUGGAUUUAAUAGUAAUAAAAUUAAAUUAAAUUUUAUGAUUAUAGCUCUAUAAUAUGUACAUAUUGCCCGUCGCUCUUAUUGAAUUUAAAGUAAGAUAAGUCGUAACAUAGUAGAUUUACUGGAAAGUGAAUCUAGAAUGAC